CAUUGCAGGGUCGUUCACAGGACUGAUACACGAUAGCUAGCGAACUAGCAUUAGCUUACCCUCAUAUGUCGUCUCGUUCAUAUCCUCUUGUCUUCGACUUGAUACUGCUGUAUCGCCUCCCAAACUCUCCUGUGUGUCUCCUGAGUGUUCCGACUCGCCACUCUCAGCUUUCUCCGACUCUUCUAUUACUUUGAAUCUGACAGAAAGCCACAGACCGAGCAGCAGGUGAACCAUCGUCUCCGUUAUGUUGCGUUUGUGUCGCACGCAAAUGACGUUAACGACUUUCGGCUCGCUGCGCUAUGACGACUCCACCCACGAUGAGGCUAUAUGGAAAAACAACUAAACCGAGACGAGCCGAGUCAGAUACAAUAGUGGCGAACCGUACCGCGCAGAGUAGAUGCUUGUGGAAUCGCCUCGGCUGCGGAGACGACUGGUGAGGGUUAAGCCGGAGCUGGGCGAAGGAUGGCUGAGGUGAAGGUAGAAGAUGAACCGGGUGAGUCCACAUCCAGGGGGGUCGGGUGAUCUCUACCGGAAGGCAGUCCUGACUAGGGGCAGAGCAAAUUACUUGGCGUACUAAGGUAACGGUAAAAUGAAGAACUGAGUCAGUACUGACGAGCAGCUUUUACGAUCCGGCGUCGACAGAAGAGUGGAGCCCGAUUAAGUAGUGCGGGGGGGAGUGACUGAUCGGCUCCGCACAUCUGCUCCCACUGAUUACCCAGAAGGAGCUCUUCCACACCUGUCGCCGCCUCCUCAACAACAAGCAUUUCUAAAAAGGACACACACACACACACACACACACACACACACACACACACACACACACACACACACACACACACACACACACACACACACACACACACACACACACACACACACACACACACACACACACACACACACACACACACACACACACACACACACACACACACACACACACACACACACACACACACACACACACACACACACACACACACACACACACACACACACACACACGGGGAGGAGGGGCACUAGCCAGGGCCUGCAGAGACAGGCCUGACAAUAGGUUUUAUUUUUGUUCUAGGUCAAUCCAUGAGGACUGGGUUAAAGAGCAUCAAUAAAUAUGUAAUCUGAAAUGACAUGUUUGUGUGUUGUUAGUGACAGGUUGUUUUGGUAAUGUAAUGGUAUGUACAGUUUCUGUAGUAUUUAGUGUAUCUGUCAUAUUUCAAAUAGCAAUGAAAGCUUAACAUUUUAUUUGUAAGUCAUUAGUAGAAUAUUAUAUUUAUUGUAGAUAGAUGAAUUUAUAUAUUUAGUGUAAGACAUAUGAUAUCCAUGUGUCAGUAUUGUUGUAUGGUAAUCGUUUUAAGAACAUGAGCUGCAUUACCCUUUUACUUAGAAAUUUGAAUAAGUACAUGAAUAUAAAUGUAACUUACCUUGUAGGUGCUUGUAAAUAAAUAGGGCUUUGUGAUAGACAUUUCUUGUUAGUGUGUUUCAGUCUUCAGUUCAGAUUUAGUUAUAUGCUUGUAAAUAUGACAUGUGAAACAAUGUACUAAAAAUAAUUAUUUUAACAUGAAGCAAUAGUAGUUUAGAACCUUUGUUACUGCAUCUGUGGAGUUUCUUGAAUAGUGGUGUUGACAUGUGCUGUGGUUGUUUUGUUCAGUGGAUGAGCAUGGGCUCAGUGCAAGAUGGCUGCCUACAUACAUCAUAGCUACAUGCAAAGCUAUCUAGAUGGCUAGCAUUCUGUGCCCUAGGUAGAUAGGCCGCUAAGCUGGAAAGAUGGAAAGAUGGCGCGGAAACCGGUGAAUAGUUACUUAAAAUUCAGUCAAAGGUUCCAGGUCCCCAGCCUGUAGAGGAGAAGACUCAACAAACACACAGUGGAGGUAAUGCAAUGGCCAGAAUUUCUCUAUCCAGUGAUAAAUACUUCUUACCUGUUUGCCACAUGCACUUCUCCCUCACAGGAUUGCACCUAAACAAAAGUAACACAACAGGUUACCAUUAAACACUUUUCUCCUGCAAUAUUAUUGUGGUUUCAACUUACACAUUGACUCGGGCAGCAAUGCUCUCCCAGGCCAUCUCCCUCUUGCACCUAAAUGAAAUAACAGGUUACCAUUAAACACUUUUCUCCUGCAAUAUUAUUGUGGUUUCAACUUACACAUUGACUCGGGCAGCAAUGCUCUCCCACACCAUUUCCCUCUCGUUUGCAGCGGUGUUGCACUUCUUUCUAAAAACGUGUUCAAACUCGCUAUAUAAGCGCAUUAAGAUUUCCAAUUCAAACGGUGUCGUCCUCUGUUUACCCGUUGCCACGGUGACUCGUCGAAUCGGCGCUCCAUUGAUACUGGCUUUUCAGACCUGUGGCGCACGUGCUUAAUUCCGGGGGAAACUACUCCGACUUGAUUUAACCAACAACAGUUUGUUGAACCCACUUCGUGAAACGGACUCCAGCAGACAAACUAAACCACAACUAACACUAAAACAAACUACACUACCAAACCUACAAAAACCACAAAACCAAACAGGAAUAACCUCAACCAAACAACACAGCAAUGUACUUACAAAAACCAGGGGAAAACAGAGCUAAAGGCUAGGCAGGCUAGGAGAACCCAGAAGCUAGUGGGGAAACAAAACUGGCAGACUGAAGACCAGGGAGCAUCCAAAAACAGACAGGAGUUGAACAGAGUCCACAAGAGAAAAAUCCAGGACAGCAAAAUCGGUUGAGUCCAAGAGGCUGAAGCUGACAAGCAGUAGAAGGCUUGGUGGGGAAACCCACAAUCCAGGAACACAGCAGAAGCCAUGGAGGGAUGUGAGCCGAUGAUCCGGCAAUGAGUGACUGGAAGCACAGAGCUUAAAUACUGGAGGUGAGGUAGAGAACAGUCAAUGGAGUGACCUAAUUACUGCAGGUGACACUCAUUACAGUAAUCAGCAAAUAGAGUGCAGGCAGGUGAAGCAACUUGACUCUGUCUGUCAUCUCUCCUCGUCCCUGUCUCUUGCUCUCCCUGCUUCACCUGUCUGCACUCAGCUGAUUACUGCAGGUGACUCACAUUACAGUAAUCAGCUCACCUGCCCUCAAUAUCACCUGCUCACUAUUUAAACUCUGCUUAGUGACUCUUUGCCUGUUUGACCAUAAACUACUGGACGCCUGCUUCCCUCCAGGCUCAGAUUCCCACAAAGACUCACAUGGCUUCACACGCUCUGCUCCCUCAUGGACUCUGCUUCCCCACUUCUGGACUCCUUUUUCCCCGACCCGUUUUCUCCGUCUUGUGAGUACCUCUCCUUAGUUUACUUUUGUUAAUCCAGUUUAGUAUUGGUUGACUUCCGUUUCUGUAUUCGUAGUGUUUGCUGGGUUUUAAAUAGUUGGGUUUUGUUUUGUUUCCCCAGUUCAGCUCUCCAUUUAUGUACUAGUUUAGUUAUCUUUUUUUAAAUGAAACUCUUUCCAUUAUUCACCUGUCUGCAAGUCUCUCUGUGUCUGUGCCUGCUUUGUCCAACUCAGGGCCCAAACCGUCCCUUAAAUAACCCUGGGUCCGUUUCACGAAGCAGGUUCAACAAACUCUGUGUAACCCUGAACUCUGAGUUGAUCUACUCUGAGAUAGAAAACUCUGAGUUUUCGGUUUCACAACGGCUGAUUUGAGUUGGUUUAAUCAACUCGGAGUAGUUUCACCCAGAGUGCACCGCAACUAUAAAAAGACAGCAUCAAUGGAACCCCGAUUCGACGACUCACCGUGGUGACGGGGGAGCGGAGAGCUACGUUUUUUACACCACUUGAACUGGACAUCUUAAUGCGUUCAUAUGGCGACUUCGAACACGUUUUUAGAAAGAAGUGCAGCAGCUGCAAAAGAGAGGGAGACGGCGUGGGAGAACAUUGCUGCCCGGGUCAAUGCGUAAGUUUAAAUCACAAUAAUAUUACAGGAAAACUGUUUAAUAGUAGCCUAUUCUGUUAUUUCAUUUAGGUGCAAUCCUGCAGGGGAAGAAGCGCAUGUAACAGCAGCUGAAGAUGAAAUAUAAGAACAUUGUUCAAACAGAAAGAAAGCAGAUGCCUGUAAAAAGGGAGGUGGCCCAGCACCACCACCUGUAACGGAGGCAGAGGAGCUGGUCCUAAGCCAGAAUUUAGGAAGGCCAGUGGCUGAGGGAAUCCCUGGAGGGAGCUCAUCCUCUGAGACCACAUCCCAAGACACAAGUGUGUGCGUGUGUGUGUGUUCAUGCGCCCACUGAACAUUUGCCAUAAGGAAGCACAGAGCACUGCAUCGUUUCUGCGUACGAGCGAGUGUGUGUGCAGCCACAGCGAUGGCAUGCGUGAAGGGGUGUGCUUUAAAGAUAGUGAGUUUAAUUAAAGAUGAAAGGGCUGAUGAUUAAUUGAUGGAAGGUGGACUGUUCCAUCAGGCUGAAGUGUGUGUGUGUGUGUGUGUGCGCGCGCGCGCGUGCGUGCGUGUGUGUGUGGACUCUUCUACUGUCGACAAACAGAAAAAGUGGGGAAAAAAAAGCUACAUUUUUUUUGAGAAAACUAGGACAGCAUCUUAAAAGACACAUUAUAUCGUCAUUUAAAAACAAAUGAUAAAUAUAAUUUGCUAAUUUGAUCAGUCCUUUAUUGAAGAAAACUGGCGUGGAGGUUCAGAUACACACAUCUGGAUGACAAAAAAGAUAUUUAAAUGAUUUUCUAGUGCAGAUCUUUGCCUGUAUUUACUCAUGCCGUGCUAUAGAAGUGAGCAGAUCAUCCCUGCUGUAUUUUUACUGCUCAUCUCUCAGCAGGUCUUCCUUUGCCCCCGUCUUCUCAAGGUGGCACCGAGAGAGACUCUCCUCUAUAAAAAAUGGAGCAGCACAAGCUCUUUUGACAUCACACUUUCUGCUACCAGGACAUUAGAAAGAGAAGGUGGAGCACUCCGGACAAAACGCUCUCGGUCUGUGCAUCUGUACUGAAGAUUUAAUCUCCACGCGACACUCUGAGUCAGAGAGGUUGCUGGGGGAUUAGUUUGUCUCACCUGCCGCUAAUGUGAUUAUUCCAGGCCAGCUGUAAAUUUCUGUAUAUAUUGUUUUAUUUAAUUUUGCUAUUUCAUUUUUCUUCCUGUUCCUUUCUAUAGUUUCUUUAUUUUUUAUUAUUCUCUUCCAUAUUCCUAGUGUGACACCAACAGCCGAAACCAAAUUCCUUGCAUGUUGUGUACUUACUUGGCCAUUAGAGCCGAUUCUGAUCACUUUUCUGUCUUUGGUCUAGGCAAGAGGAAAAGGUGCAACAGAAAAUUGGACUUUCCAAGCAUACUUGUGGAGAUGCACGCUGAGGAGGAGUGGAGUCAUGCCCAGCAUGAUGAGAACAUCUGGUUGCUCCUCAGCGAGGCAAGAGAGAAUGAAGCGGCCUUGCAGCGGGAGGAGAUGGUCCAGAAUGCUGCCUUCAACCAGUCAUUCCUGGGUGUACUGGGGCAGCUGGUGCAGGCAGUGGGCAGCCAGCGAGUCCACCUCCCAGAGACUUGAGAUUUAGUUGUAUAUAGUUUUACUUUUAGCCCUCUACUGUAGGAGAGGCCCACCACAGUUUGUACUUUACACAUUGUAAAUAGUUUUGAUUUUGCUGCUGACUAAUAAACUAUUUUGUGACUUA